GACGAACGCUGGCGGCGUGCCUAAUACAUGCAAGUCGAACGCUUCUUUCCUCCCGAGUGCUUGCACUCAAUUGGAAAGAGGAGUGGCGGACGGGUGAGUAACACGUGGGUAACCUACCCAUCAGAGGGGGAUAACACUUGGAAACAGGUGCUAAUACCGCAUAACAGUUUAUGCCGCAUGGCAUAAGAGUGAAAGGCGCUUUCGGGCGUCGCUGAUGGAUGGACCCGCGGUGCAUUAGCUAGUUGGUGAGGUAACGGCUCACCAAGGCCACGAUGCAUAGCCGACCUGAGAGGGUGAUCGGCCACACUGGGACUGAGACACGGCCCAGACUCCUACGGGAGGCAGCAGUAGGGAAUCUUCGGCAAUGGACGAAAGUCUGACCGAGCAACGCCGCGUGAGUGAAGAAGGUGUUCGGAUCGUAAAACUCUGUUGUUAGAGAAGAACAAGGACGUUAGUAACUGAACGUCCCCUGACGGUAUCUAACCAGAAAGCCACGGCUAACUACGUG
rnacentral:rRNA from 1 species